UACGUAGGGGGCAAGCGUUAUCCGGAUUUACUGGGUGUAAAGGGAGCGUAGACGGUCUGGCAAGUCUGAUGUGAAAACCCGCGGCUCAACUGCGGGAUUGCAUUGGAAACUGUUAGACUGGAGUACUGGAGGGGCAGGCGGAAUUCCUGGUGUAGCGGUGAAAUGCGUAGAUAUCAGGAGGAACACCGGUGGCGAAGGCGGCCUGCUGGACAGAAACUGACGUUGAGGCUCGAAAGCGUGGGGAGCAAAC
rnacentral:rRNA from 1 species